rnacentral:rRNA from 1 species
GACGAACGCUGGCGGCGUGCUUAACACAUGCAAGUCGAGCGGAGCGGCGGACGGGGGAGUGAUGCCUAGGAAUCUGCCUGGUGGUGGGGGAUAACGUACAGUAAGGGGCGCUAAUGCCGCAUCCUAUCAGCUUAGGCUGGGUCGGAUGAGCUAGUUGGUGGGGUAAAGGCCUACCAAGGCGACGCUCCGUAGCUGGUCUGAGAGGAUGAUCAGUCACACUGGAACUGAGACACGGUCCAGACUCCUACGGGAGGCAGCAGUGGGGAAUAUUGGGCAAUGGGGGAAAGCCUGAUCCAGCCAUGCCGCGUGUGUGAAGAAGGUCUUCGGAUUGUAAAGCACUUUAGGUUGCGAGGCGUUACCUACAGAAUAAGCACCGGCUAACUCCGUGCCAGCAGCCGCGGUAAUUC